UACAGAGGUCCCGAGCGUUGUUCGGAUUCACUGGGCGUAAAGGGUGCGUAGGUGGUGAGGUAAGUCGGAUGUGAAAUCUCCAAGCUCAACUUGGAAAUGGCAUUGGAAACUACCUUGCUUGAGGACUGGAGAGGAGACUGGAAUUUACGGUGUAGCAGUGAAAUGCGUAGAGAUCGUAAGGAAGACCAGUGGCGAAGGCGGGUCUCUGGACAGUUCCUGACACUGAGGCACGAAGGCCAGGGGAGCAAACGGG
rnacentral:rRNA from 1 species